CAUCCUAGCAAUUGCACUCUGUCCCAUAUUCCAACACUCACAAAAAGGGUUCCUUUAUAGGUUAGCUCAUUCUUUCAAUGGAUAUGUAUUCAGAGUGAGCCUGACUAUCACUGUAUUCAUUUUCAAGGCAUUUUACUGUAUAGUUUUGGAGAAAACUAAAAGCAAAAUCACCCAAAACAUCAAACUCCUUCGUUGCACUUGGUUUAUUUACGUAUAUUUAAACACUCAUAAAAAAUGUUCCUUUAUAGGUUAGCUCAUUCUUUCAAUGGAUAUGUAUUCAGAGUGAGCCUGACUAUCACUGAAUUCAUUUUCAAGGCAUUUUACUGUAUAGUUUUGGAGAAAACUAAAAGCAAAAUCACCCAAAACAACAAAAUGCAUCCUAGCAAUUGCACUCUGUCCCAUUUUCCAACACUCAUAAAAAGGGUU
ensembl:lncRNA